UCGCGAACCUAAGAGAUUGGGUUCUUCAUUUAGUUGGACAGAACACAGGUGCUGCAUGGCUGUCGUCAGCUCGUGUCGUGAGAUGUUGGGUUAAGUCCCGCAACGAGCGCAACCCUUACUUUUAGUUGCCACCAUUUAGUUGAGCACUCUAAAAGAACUGCCAGUGAUAAGCUGGAGGAAGGCGGGGAUGACGUCAAGUCCUCAUGGCCCUUAUGUGUUGGGCUACACACGUGCUACAAUGGCACUUACAAUGAGAAGCGAAGAGGCGACUCCAAGCCAAACUCAAAAAUGUGCCUCAGUUCGGAUUGUACUCUGCAACUCGAGUACAUGAAGCUGGAAUUGCUAGUAAUCGCGGAUCAGCGCGCCGCGGUGAAUACGUUCCCGGGUCUUGUACACACCGCCCGUCACACCAUGGAAGUUGGUUACACCUGAAGGCAAGACGUAAAACUUUUGACUACGGUACGAUCAGCGACUGGGGUGAAGUCGUAACAAGGUAACC
rnacentral:rRNA from 1 species